rnacentral:rRNA from 1 species
AGCAGCCGCGGUAAUUCCAGCUCCAAUAGCGUAUAUUAAAGUUGCUGCAGUUAAAAAGCUCGUAGUUGAAUUUCGGGACCAUCAUGCCGGUCGUGCCUCGGUACGUACUGGCAUUGUUGGUUUCUACCUUCUGACGAACCAUGAUGUCAUUUAUUUGGUGUCGUGGGAAAUCAGGACUGUUACUUUGAAAAAAUUAGAGUGUUUAAAGCAGGCUCACGCUUGAAUACAUUAGCAUGGAAUAAUGAAAUAGGACGUUUGAUUCUAUUUUGUUGGUUUCUAGGAUCGACGUAAUGAUUAAUAGGGAUAGUUGGGGGCAUUAGUAUUCAAUUGUCAGAGGUGAAAUUCUUGGAUUUAUUGAAGACUAACUACUGCGAAAGCAUUUGCCAAGGAUGUUUUCAUUAAUCAAGAACGAAAGUUAGGGGAUCGAAGACGAUCAGAUACCGUCGUAGUCUUAACCAUAAACUAUGCCGACUAGGGAUCGGAUGAUGUUAAUUUUUUAAUGACUCAUUCGGCGCCUUACG